CCUACGGGGGGCAGCAGUGGGGAAUAUUGCACACUGUGGGAAACCCUGAUGCCGCGACGCCGCGUGAGUGAAGCAGUAUUUCGGUACGUAAAGCUCUAUCAGCAGGGAAGAAAAUGACGGUACCUGACUAAGAAGCCCCGGCUAACUACGUGCCAGCAGCCGCGGUAAUACGUAGGGGGCAAGCGUGAUCCGGAUUUACUGGGUGUAAAGGGAGCGUAGACGGCAGCGCAAGUCUGGAGUGAAAUCCCAUGGCUUAACCAUGGAACUGCUUUGGAAACUGUGCAGCUAGAGUGCAGGAGAGGUGAGCGGAAUUCCUAGUGUAGCGGUGAAAUGCGUAGAUAUUAGGAGGAACACCAGUGGCGAAGGCGGCUUACUGGACUGUAACUGACGUGGAGGCUCGAAAGCGUGGGGAGCAAACAGGAUUAGAUACCCUGGUAGUC
rnacentral:rRNA from 1 species